rnacentral:rRNA from 1 species
CAGUCGCACGGUAACACCGAGGGUGCGAGCGUUAAUCGGAUUUACUGGGCGUAAAGCGUGCGUAGGCGGCUAAUUGAGUCGGAUGUGAAAUCCCCGAGCUUAACUUGGGAAUUGCAUUCGAUACUGGUUAGCUAGAGUGUGGGAGAGGAUGGUAGAAUUCCAGGUGUAGCGGUGAAAUGCGUAGAGAUCUGGAGGAAUACCGAUGGCGAAGGCAGCCAUCUGGCCUAACACUGACGCUGAGGUACGAAAGCAUGGGGAGCAAACAGGAUUAGAUACCCGCGUAGUCCCUGUCUCUUAUACA